rnacentral:tRNA from 1 species
AAGGUUUUAAGUUAAAAUUAAACUAUUAAUCUUCAAAAUUAAAAAUAAAACAUAAAUUUUUAAGCCUUA